rnacentral:rRNA from 1 species
GACAGAGGGGGCAAGCGUUGCUCGGAAUCACUGGGCGUAAAGGGCGCGUAGGCGGGAUGGCAAGUCGGUCGUGAAAUCCUUCGGCUCAACCGAAGAACGUCGGCCGAUACUGCCGUUCUUGAGGGAUGCAGAGGAGAUUGGAAUUCCCGGUGUAGCGGUGAAAUGUGUAGAGAUCGGGAGGAACACCGGUGGCGAAGGCGAGUCCCUGGACAACUCCUGACACUGAGGCACGAAAGCUAGGGGAGCAAACAGG